rnacentral:rRNA from 1 species
UACGGAGGGUGCAAGCGUUAUCCGGAAUCACUGGGUUUAAAGGGUCCGCAGGCGGGCUGAUAAGUCAGUGGUGAAAUCCCAUGGCUCAACCAUGGAACUGCCAUUGAUACUGUCAGUCUUGAGUAAGGUGGAAGUUGGCGGAAUACAGCAUGUAGCGGUGAAAUGCGUAGAUAUGCUGUAGAACACCGAUUGCGAAGGCAGCUGACUAUACCUUUACUGACGCUGAGGGACGAAAGCGUGGGGAGCGAACAGG